rnacentral:rRNA from 1 species
UCGGGAGGCAGCAGUGGGGAAUAUUGCACAAUGGGGGAAACCCUGAUGCAGCAACGCCGCGUGAAGGAAGACGGUCUUCGGAUUGUAAACUUCUGUUCUUAGUGAAGAUAAUGACGGUAGCUAAGGAGCAAGCCACGGCUAACUACGUGCCAGCAGCCGCGGUAAUACGUAGGUGGCAAGCGUUGUCCGGAAUUACUGGGUGUAAAGGGAGCGCAGGCGGGAAAUCAAGUUGGAUGUGAAAUGUCGGGGCUUAACCCCGGAACUGCAUCCAAAACUGAUUUUCUUGAGUGAAGUAGAGGUAGGCGGAAUUCCGAGUGUAGCGGUGAAAUGCGUAGAUAUUCGGAGGAACACCAGUGGCGAAGGCGGCCUACUGGGCUUUAACUGACGCUGAGGCUCGAAAGUGUGGGGAGCAAACAGGAUUAGAUACCCUGGUA